GCAAUUUUAGGCCUGGAUACCUGCCGGAGUCUCUCUAGCCCUGUGGGCCAGAACUAGGGUCCAGGUUCUCCUCCGUAAGCUCCCAGGGGUCUCAGGGAGGCAGCCCGGCAGUAGAAGCAUCCAGGGGACUGAGUCAGGGAUGCUGCUGGAGACGGUGUUAAGGAUGCCUGGGUUCUGGGAGUUUCUGGAGUGAGCGAGUCUGGAGUGUGGGUGUGGGGGUGCCUGGCUGUCUAUGAGAAACCAACAGCUGGCUUGGACAGCUAUUAUUUGCUGGCCUGUUACGGAUCAGGGCUGGAUGCUGGAGUGGACUAGAUAGAUGAAUCUCCCCGGUUAAGGAGGGCCCAUAAAAGCAAGGAGUGCAGGGUGGGAACAGGAGCCCAACAGGUCGAUAAGUCAGCAUUUCAGAGCGUGAGUGGUUAUUCUCAUUGUCAUAGGAACAUCGGAUAAAAGUGGUUCACAGAGGGAAACCUAGAUAGCACCCCAACAGUUUGGCUGGAUGGUCCUUAAGGAUUCUGGGCAAGUUGCCAAGCCCUGGCAGAGGAGAGGAGCUGUCUGCAACUGAACGAACCUAAAAUAACCAGAUUCCAAUCCUAAUGAAAGGUAUCUUCGGAGUAAGACUGGAAGGAAGUGAGCCAUGGAAAUUUCCAGUGGAAGAGCAUUCCACAGAGUGCAGGACACAGGUCACAGGUCAGAGAUUAAGGUGGAGAGGCCCCACCAAGGACGGCUUGUGAGUCAAGGCAUAACUGUUUUGCCUGCCUGAAUGAGUGCCUGGUCCCCAAAGAGAGCAGAGUUGCAGAUGGUUGUGAGCCUCUGUGUGGGUGCUGGAAAUUGAACCCUGGCCCUCUGCAAGAUAAGCAAGU